AUCUCCUCUAUCCGACCAUUUCCUUUGUAUCCUUGAAAUCCUGGGACGGUAUACUAAAUUCUUCCCUUUAUUUAUGUUGCUUGAGGAAGAACGUGAGAGAAGUCGGCGUGAUCUAAAAAUUCACUGAAAAUCACUGAGGGACAAGAGCAACCCUUUCGAUGUGGACGAUACAGUGUUUAUUAAAAACUAUCGGUUAAAUAAGGCGGCCUUUACGUAUGUCCUCGAUGUUCUAGAGAGUUCUAGUUCUUCAAGAUCUUCAUCUAUAUCUUUACUUCAUCGAUUGUCUUCGGUUUUACGGUUUUUAGCUGAAGAAGGCUAUCAGCAUGGAGUGGGUAAAGACUUUGAUAUCCCAAUGGCUCAGUCAACAUUUUGUUGCAUCUUAAAAGAAGUAUUGGGAUUGCUUCAGUCCGAUUUGUGCCCUCAGUGGAUAAACCUCGAGUUAAGUAACGUUGAAAAAAGUGAAGCGAAAAAGGAUUUUUUUCAGAAAUACGGAUUUCCAGGCGCGAUUUUGUGUGUAGACAGGACACAUAUUAAAAUCGUUGCUCCAACUAAAGACAAGUUUCUCUAUUAUAACCGCAAAGGAUACUUUAGUAUCAAUGCCAUGAUUAUAUGUGACAAAAAUAUGGAAAUACGUUAUGUGAAUGCUGAGUUUCCUGGCGGCAAGCACGACUCCCACAUAAGAAAUAUCAGUAAUCCUCGUUAUUUUAAUGAGAAAAAGUACCUUGAUGGUGAACGAAACACUUGGCUUUUGGGUUUUAU